AUACCUUAGAUUCCAUCUCUGCAGCUAUUGGCAAUACUAUCAAUGAUGCACAGCUCUCUGAAGGCAUACCUUCUUCCAGUAAAGGAGGGAAGGGGGUAACUGCAGGUGGGGCAAGUUCAAUCGCAUUCUGGCAGUAUUACUGAUCACCAGUGUCUUC